rnacentral:lncRNA from 1 species
AGACAGAAGAAUGGCAAAAGCCAACAAGGCAAUUGUGACCAGGAAUCUACUCCUGCCCCCUGGUGGGAAGGCCAGACAGGGCAGGGGUAGUCAGAGGCUGGGAGGCAGGGUCACUGGGGAACCACACAGCAGACUCACUCAUUUUCACAGCCCCCACCCCAGAUGAAGAGGGAUUGAGGGAGAACAUGGAUUCUCCUUGUCUCCUGUCUUCUAGUUUCCCGGCAGAGCUCAGUUAGCUACAGAGAGAGUAAGGGCCAGACAGCAGGACACACAGCCUAGGUGUGGGGGAGGAUCAGGACUAACUUCUCCUAGGAGCUCAGGAUCCUAAAGACUUGAAAGAGGCCAUUAAAGGGAACAUAACUCCUGACAACCAGCAACAUUUGGGGCUGGCCCUGUUGUGUUUUCUGUCUGUUUCCUCCUCCCUUUGAGACAGUGUCCACUAUGUAGAUGAGGCUGGCCUGGAACUCACAGAGAUCCACCUGUCUCCACUUCCUGGGUGCCAGGAUUUAAGAUAUGUGCCCCCAUGGUCAGCUCAUUCCUAUUCAUUUUAAUACAGGGCCACUGUAGCCAAGGUUGAAGAUGCUCUUGAACUGCUGAUUCUCUGCUGGGGAUUGGGCUCCUGGCUUCGUGCCCACUAGGCAAACAUUCUACCAACUGAGCUGCAUCCCAGGUUUUAGUUCUGAGCCCCUAGCUUUCCUGCAUUCUUUCCCUUGGCGUUCUCACCAAUUCCUGGCUUCGUUGAAUCAUUCAGCAAACAUCAAUUUGAGUGCAUGGCAUGCAGCUGGCCCUUGACCUUGACCUAGUCCUUGGUGACAGUGAUGAAUGAGUCAGGGGGUCUGUCACUCAUGGGGUUUGGGGGGAUCAGCAAUACAGUGUAAAGGGCAGAGGAGCUACUGGGUGAAGGAAGCUCACAGAAGAAAGAUCAAAGAAGGCUUCCUGGAAGGGGUACCUCUCAGACUGACUGCUGCCAGGCCAGGGGCACCAGGAGGCCAGAGAAUAGACUCAGAGUCUGGUGGCAUGGAAGCAAAGAAAUAGAAGUCAGUUUAAGGGU